UAGAGUUUGAUCCUGGCUCAGGAUGAACGCUGGCGGCGUGCUUAACACAUGCAAGUCGAACGAAGCGAUCAGGAGGAAGUUUUCGGAUGGAAUCCGGAUUGACUGAGUGGCGGACGGGUGAGUAACGCGUGGGUAACCUGCCUCAUACAGGGGGAUAACAGUUAGAAAUGACUGCUAAUACCGCAUAAGCGCACAGGGACACAUGUUCCGGUGUGAAAAACUCCGGUGGUAUGAGAUGGACCCGCGUCUGAUUAGCUGGUUGGCGGGGUAACGGCCCACCAAGGCGACGAUCAGUAGCCGACCUGAGAGGGUGACCGGCCACAUUGGGACUGAGACACGGCCCAAACUCCUACGGGAGGCAGCAGUGGGGAAUAUUGCACAAUGGGGGAAACCCUGAUGCAGCAACGCCGCGUGAGUGAAGAAGUAUUUCGGUAUGUAAAGCUCUAUCAGCAGGGAAGAAGAUGACGGUACCUGAGUAAGAAGCCCCGGCUAACUACGUGCCAGCAGCCGCGGUAAUACGUAGGGGGCAAGCGUUAUCCGGAUUUACUGGGUGUAAAGGGAGCGUAGACGGUGAGACAAGUCUGAAGUGAAAGCCCGGGGCUCAACCCCGGGACUGCUUUGGAAACUGCCUGACUGGAGUGCUGGAGAGGCAAGCGGAAUUCCUAGUGUAGCGGUGAAAUGCGUAGAUAUUAGGAAGAACACCAGUGGCGAAGGCGGCUUGCUGGACAGUAACUGACGUUGAGGCUCGAAAGCGUGGGGAGCAAACAGGAUUAGAUCCCCUGGUAGUCCACGCC
rnacentral:rRNA from 1 species